rnacentral:lncRNA from 1 species
CGGAACUGCCAGAACCCUGGUUUCUAGACCCGAAAGCAUCUAGUCCCAAAGACAUCUUUGGAUUAUCAACUGAAAACUCGCUGAAACUGAAAAAGAGAACUGACAACUGGCGCUGCCGGAAAAGUACUGUAGUUGCCGGAAAAAUUCAAAGUUGUCGGAAUUGAAAAAUAAAAAUAUGGAUAGGUUUGGAAUAAAAGGUUGAGCAAACUGUCCUGAAGAAAUUCUGGCCGGAAAGUACUGUAGCUGCCGCGCGUCGACGCGUGGGUUCACGCGCCGAGGGUGUUGCCGGCGCGUGGGGGCGCGUGAAUGGUUCUUUUCC